AAAAUACUGCAUUGUUUUUUGUAACCUGCUGACUGGUGAAGGGACAACGUGUGCUCCUCAACACUUGGUUCUUGCCACGUGCCGCAGCAGGCUGACAGCUUCCAGUGGGCCUGUCUGAGCCUUCAAGUCCCGGCAAUGAAACGGUUCGUGUGAGGAAGACUGCUUCUGGUGCUACAGGUGGAAAUUGUUACUAGUGUCGUGGUGGCAGCACGGGCCUCGGCACUCCCUGGCACCACGGCAGGUGUCAGUGAGGCAGGCAGGUGUUGGUUCAAGUCCUGGCAGUGUCACUUCGCUGCUGUAUUGUUUGGUGCAGCGGAUGAUGCUACGUUUUUCAUCACU